rnacentral:rRNA from 1 species
UAUGGCUCAGGAUGAACGCUAGCGGCAGGCUUAACACAUGCAAGUCGAGGGGCAUCGGGAGUAGCAAUACUGCCGGCGACCGGCGCAAGGGUGCGUAACGCGUGAGCAACAUGCCCGUAUCAGGGGGAUAAUCCAUGGAAACGUGGUCUAAUACCCCAUAGUAAUUAUGUAAGGCAUCUUAUAUAAUUUAAAGCUUUGGUGGAUACGGAUUGGCUCGCGUGACAUUAGCUGGAUGGUAAGGUAACGGCUUACCAUGGCUACGAUGUCUAGGGGUUCUGAGAGGAAGGUCCCCCACACUGGAACUGAGACACGGUCCAGACUCCUACGGGAGGCAGCAGUGAGGAAUAUUGGACAAUGGAUGGAAAUCUGAUCCAGCCAUGCCGCGUGCAAGGAAGACGGCCCUAUGGGUUGUAAACUGCUUUUGUAUGGGAGCAAUAAGGGCUACGUGUAGUCCGAUGAGAGUACCAUACGAAUAAGCACCGGCUAACUCCGUGCCAGCCGCCGC